rnacentral:rRNA from 1 species
GACGAACGCUGGCGGCGUGCUUAACACAUGCGAGUCGAACGAUGAAGCCGGAGCUUGCUCUGGUGAAUUAGUGGCGAACGGGUGAGUAACACGUGAGUAACCUGCCCUUGACUCUGGGAUAACUGCGGGAAACUGUAGCUAAUACCGGAUACGACCCUCGGAGGCAUCUCCUGGGGGUGGAAAGAAUUUCGGUCAAGGAUGGACUCGCGUCCUAUCAGCUAGUUGGUGAGGUAAAGGCUAACCAAGGCGACGACGGGUAGCCGGCCUGAGAGGGUGACCGGCCACACGGGGACUGAGAAACGGCCCAGACUCCUACGGGAGGCAGCAGUGGGGAAUAUUGCACAAUGGGCGCAAGCCUGAUGCAGCAACGCCGCGUGAGGGAUGACGGCCUUCGGGUUGUAAACCUCUUUUAGCAGGGAAGAAGCGAAAGUGACGGUACCUGCAGAAAAAGCACCGGCUAACUACGUGCCAGCCGCCGCGGUAA